rnacentral:rRNA from 1 species
UACGUAGGGUGCGAGCGUUAAUCGGAAUUACUGGGCGUAAAGCGUGCGCAGGCGGUUUGCUAAGACCGAUGUGAAAUCCCCGGGCUUAACCUGGGAACUGCAUUGGUGACUGGCAGGCUAGAGUAUGGCAGAGGGGGGUAGAAUUCCACGUGUAGCAGUGAAAUGCGUAGAGAUGUGGAGGAAUACCGAUGGCGAAGGCAGCCCCCUGGGCCAAUACUGACGCUCAUGCACGAAAGCGUGGGGAUCAAACAGG